rnacentral:rRNA from 1 species
UACGUAGGGUGCGAGCGUUUAAUCGGAAUUACUGGGCGUAAAGCGUGCGUAGGCGGUCCGCGAAGUCUGAUGUGAAAGCCCCGGGCUCAACCUGGGAACUGCAUUGGAAACUAACGGGCUCGAAUGUGGCAGAGGGGGGUGGAAUUCCACGUGUAGCAGUGAAAUGCGUAGAGAUGUGGAGGAACACCGAUGGCGAAGGCAGCCCCCCUGGGCUAACACUGACGCUCAGGCACGAAAGCGUGGGGAGCAAACAGG